GUGCUCGCCUGGGCAGCACAGAGACUAAAACUGAAACAACAGAGAUCAGCACGGCCCCUGCGCAAGGAUGGCACACAAAUUCGUGAGGCGUUCCGUAUUUCU